AUAAUAUCUAGAGUAUCUAGCUUACCUGGUUUGAAACUUACAUUAUAAUUCUCUGUAGGAUAUUUAUCAUUAUUAAUUCUAAGCCAACAUCUCAUCAUAUCGAGAUUAUCAAAUAUCAUGUUAUUUUGAUUUUGAUUAUUUUCUUUUUCCUGAUAUUGAGGAAUCACAAAAAUAUUUAGGAUUUCAUCAGUUGUUGUAUUUACAAUGAUAGUACCACUAGAACUAUUUUGAACAUUACUUUUAAUGAGUCUUGCUGAACACCAAUUAAUUUCAACAUCAGAUGCAGGAUUUAGAGACAUACUGUUAUAAUGAACUUGUGGUUCUGGAUUCAGUUUUACAUGAGGCAACCACAACGAAAUGUCAGAUAUAACUACUUUAUAGUCAGGAUUUUUUUCAUCGGUAUAUAACAUGUCAUUAUUUCCAUUUCUCCAAAACACAAAUCUAACAUCAAUGUUUGAGAUAAUUUUUUUAAAAUCAUUAAAGAAUCCAAACAGUUGUUUUAAUGGUAUCCACAAUUUAAUUUUAUUGCUGUUUUUGGUUAAAAUCCAUCUAUCUGUGAAUCCUUCAUUAUACGAUGCAUUCUUUUUUAAUCCAGCUAGAAGACUUUGCAUUUUUGAUUUUGAUCCAAGACUCUGAUCAUCAGCUCCAUCAAAUAUUAAAAUCUGUUUAUCAGGAGAUUCCGAUGUAUCGAUAUAAAAGAACAUAUUUGUAGCCUCUGAGGUAGAAUAAUCUUUUGUAAAGUUUAUAAGUCCAUUAAUAUGGUGAACUAGUGAAGGUAAUUCUAUUUCUUCAAUUAAUGUUUUACCAAUAUGUAAUUCAGAUCUUAAAAAUAAAUUACCUGUAUUUACCAAGGUUACAUUAUCAUCCCCUAUAGAGGAUCCAUCUUGUUUUGUAAUUUUUAAUUCUGGACAGAUAUAGCCACUAGAAUAUAAAAUAUUAUCAUUUACAUCUUUAAUAUUAAAUUCAUAUUUUGCAGAUUCUUUUUCUUCGAUAACAACCUUAUCUUCUCUAUGCUGUUUAUAGUCAAAACUUUCAAUUUCAUUUUUAUAAUAAUUUGGAAUGGUUGUCAAAUCCCAAAUCUUCUCCAUUUAUUAAGAUAAAAAUUUUUUUAAUCCUGUUCCAUAUUGACUCUGCAUCGUAGAGGGUUUUGAUAAUAUUUCAUUCAUUGUUUUUAUAGCAGGAGUCUUUUUUGAUAAAAUUUUCUCAAUUUUACUUUUUACAAAAUCUUUUGCUUUAUCUUCAAUAACUGUUUUAGCUUGACUUCCUAUUAUUUCUAGUAAUUUUCUACCAAUAGUUUUAAUAGCUUCGGUGAAGAUAUUUCCACCAUAGUAUUUCUUAUUACUGACAAACAAUCUAUGCUUAUUAUAAAUCAUUUAUUUAUGUUAAAAUUAUGAGAUCAAUCUAAAAUUAAACGAUAGACAACUCUCUGUUUGUUCAAAUCAAUCAAAUUAUCAUCUUGAUCAGUUAUUCUCAUUCUAAUUCUGUAAAUGUAAUGAUUUCUGUUUAUAUCUGCAAAUAUGGGAUUUAUUUCGUCAAUUUUUAUUAAACUUCCAGGAGGAUGAGACGGUGUAAAAGAAUAUAGAAUAUCACUUGUAUAAUCAUUGUAUUCUACACCACUUAUUACAUCGCAAUGGAUAUGAAUAUCAUCAACUCCUUUUGAUAUGUUUGCUAUAUAUUUUCCGGUUUGUUCUGUUUGAUCAUAUACUUUUGGUUCAAAUCCUAAAAUUUCAUAAAGUUUUCCUUCACUCAGAUCAAUCUUAUA
rnacentral:lncRNA from 1 species